rnacentral:rRNA from 1 species
UACGUAGGGGGCGAGCGUUAUCCGGAAUUACUGGGCGUAAAGCGUACGUAGGCGGUUAUUUAAGCGCAGGGUUUAAAGCAAUGGCCCAACCAUUGUUCGCCCUGCGAACUGGACAACUUGAGUACAGGAGGGGAAAGCGGAAUUCCUAGUGUAGCGGUGAAAUGCGUAGAUAUUAGGAGGAACACCGGUGGCGAAGGCGGCUUUCUGGACUGAAACUGACGCUGAGGUACGAAAGUGUGGGGAGC